rnacentral:rRNA from 1 species
GACGAACGCUGGCGGCGUGCCUAAUACAUGCAAGUCGAACGCAGUGGGGACGGGUGAGUAACACGUGGGUAACCUCCCAUCAGAGGGGAUAACACUUGGAAACAGGUGCUAAACCGAUAUUGAUGGAUGGACCCGCGGUGCAUUAGCUAGUUGGUGAGGUAACGGCUCACCAAGGCCACGAUGCAUAGCCGGCCUGGGAGGGGUACCGGCCACACCGGGGCUGGGACCAGGGCCAGACUCCCACGGGAGGCAGGCGUAGGGAAUUUUCCGGCAAGGACGAAAGGUUAACCGGCCAACGCGGGGUGAUGAAAGAGGUUUUCCGAAUGUAAAACCUCUUUUGUAAGAAAAGCGGUAAUUAACCCAGAAGCCAAGGCUAACUACGUGCCAGCAGCCGCGGUAAUUC